AGAGCGAACGCUGGCGGCGUGCUUAACACAUGCAAGUCGAACGCGCAGCAUUCUGUAGCAAUACAGGGUGUGGGCGCGUGGCGAACGGGUGCGUAACACGUGGAUAACCUUCCUUCAGGUGGGGAAUAACCCAGUGAAAAUUGGGCUAAUACCGCAUAACAUGACGAUGCCACAUGGUGUUGUCUUCAAAGCCGCAAGGCGCCAGAAGAGGGAUCCGCGGCCGAUUAGCUUGUUGGCGAGGUAAUGGCUCACCAAGGCAUUGAUCGGUAGCCGGACUGAGAGGUUGGCCGGCCACACUGGAACUGAGACACGGUCCAGACUCCUACGGGAGGCAGCAGUGGGGAAUCUUGCACAAUGGACGAAAGUCUGAUGCAGCAACGCCGCGUGGGGGAUGAAGCUUUUCGGAGUGUAAACCCCUUUCGACCCGGAAGAAUGCCCGCAAGGGUUUGACGGUACGGGUAUAAGAAGCCCCGGCUAACUACGUGCCAGCAGCCGCGGUAAUACGUAGGGGGCCAGCGUUGCUCGGAAUUACUGGGCGUAAAGGGUCCGUAGGCGGUGUGGCAAGUCGGGAGUGAAAUCUCUGGGCUUAACCCAGAGGCUGCUUCCGAAACUGCCAUGCUAGAGUGUGAGAGAGGCGAGUGGAAUUACGGGUGUAGCGGUGAAAUGCGUAGAUAUCCGUAGGAACAUCCGAGGCGAAGGCGGCUCGCUGGAUCACAACUGACGCUGAGGGACGAAAGCUAGGGGAGCAAACAGGAUUAGAUACCCUGGUAGUCCUAGCCCUAAACCAUCAGCACUUGGGGGUGUGCCCUGUACGGGGCACGUCCCGUAGCUAACGCGUUAAGUCCUGCGCCUGGGGGAGUACGGUCGCAAGGCUGAA
rnacentral:rRNA from 1 species